UCACGAAAUGGUUGGAGCUAAUUAUAUAUGUGGUUAUAGACUAUACACAGUGUGUAGCAUAACACUGGAAAAAGAUAUAAUUAGGUGUGAUAGGCUUUUCAAAGACCAGGAUAUCUUGAUAGUACUUAAACGUAUGUAGUACGUAAGACAAAUAGAAAGUGUUGAGGCUCUCUAUAAUUUCAAAAUCGAUUCCGUGGACUUAUUGGUUUAAUCAUCUUUUAUCUAAAAUAAUAAUAUUAAUUUUCUAUCCAUUUGAUUUAAAUACGUGCUCCUAUAUAAAAAUUAAGGUGUAUAGUAAUAAUGUUCCCAUAAGUAUUAAUUAAGGCGUUUAUAAUGAACUCGGCAAUAAAUAUUCUCAACUGUUUACCAAAAACAUAGCUGUAUGUAAUUAUAUAUAGUUAUUUCUGCUCAAUGUAAUAUAAAUGGCCGCAGUACUCUGACUGUGCAAAGGUAGCAUAAUCAAUUGGCUUAUAAUUGAAGUCUAGUAUGAAAGAAAAUAUGGGGAUUGACUGUAUAAAAUACGUUCUUUAAAAUUACUUAAUAAGUGAAAAGACUUAUAUUUAAAUAAUAGACGAGAAGACCCUAGAAAUUUUGAGCAACUGAUGAAACGCAUGGUUUUUGUUGGGGCGACACAGUAGCAUAAUUAACCUACUAAGAUUAAUAUGAUUAUUAUAUUACGGAUAAUUAAAUUACUCUAGGGAUAACAGCAUAAUAUUAAAAAGUUUGUGACCUCGAUGUUGGACUAGGAUACUACCACCCAGAAGGUUAUUAGUAAGGCUCUGUUCGAGCAAUUUACUCCUACAUGAUCUGAGUUCAGACCGGCGUAAGCCAGGUCAGUUUCU
rnacentral:rRNA from 1 species